AUUGAACGCUGGCGGCAUGCCUUACACAUGCAAGUCGAACGGUAACAGGUCUUCGGAUGCUGACGAGUGGCGAACGGGUGAGUAAUACAUCGGAACGUGCCUAGUAGUGGGGGAUAACUACUCGAAAGAGUGGCUAAUACCGCAUGAGAUCUACGGAUGAAAGCAGGGGAUCGCAAGACCUUGUGCUACUAGAGCGGCCGAUGGCAGAUUAGGUAGUUGGUGGGAUAAAAGCCUACCAAGCCGACGAUCUGUAGCUGGUCUGAGAGGACGAUCAGCCACACUGGGACUGAGACAGAGCCCAGACUCAUACGGGAGGAAGAAGUGGGGAAUUUUGGACAAUGGGAAAAAGCAUGAUCCAGCAAUGCCGCGUGAAGGAUGAAGGCCUUCGGGUUGUAAACUGCUUUUGUACGGAACGAAAAGCCCCGGGUUAAUACCCUGGGGUCAUGACGGUGCCGUAAGAAUAAGCACCGGCUAACUACGUGCCAGCCGCCGCCGUAA
rnacentral:rRNA from 1 species